rnacentral:rRNA from 1 species
UACAGAGGUCCCAAGCGUUGUUCGGAUUCACUGGGCGUAAAGGGUGCGUAGGUGGUGAGGUAAGUUUGGUGUGAAAUCUCCGAGCUCAACUCGGAAACGGCACUAAAAACUGCUUUGCUGGAGGGUCGGAAGGGAGACUGGAAUUCUCGGUGUAGCGGUGAAAUGCGUAGAUAUCGAGAGGAACACCAGUGGCGAAAGCGAGUCUCUGGACGACACCUGACACUGAGGCACGAAAGCUAGGGGAG